UACGUAGGGGGCGAGCGUUAUCCAGAUUUACUGGGCGUAAAGCGCGUGUAGGCGGCUGGUUAGGUGUGAUGUGAAAUCCUCGGGCUCAACCCGAGAACUGCAUUGCAAACCGGCCUGGCUAGAGUGCAGGAGAGGGAAGCGGAAUUCCAGGUGUAGCGGUGAAAUGCGUAGAUAUCUGGAGGAACACCGGUGGCGAAGGCGGCAUCCUGGACCGGCAUUGACGCUGAGGCGCGAAAGCUAGGGGAGCAAACGGG
rnacentral:rRNA from 1 species